GCAGUCGAGCGGCAGCGACAUAAACAGAACCUUCGGGGUGCAGUUUAUGGGCGGCGAGCGGCGGACGGGUGAGUAAUGCCUGGGAAAUUGCCCUGAUGUGGGGGAUAACCAUUGGAAACGAUGGCUAAUACCGCAUGAUAGCUUCGGCUCAAAGAGGGGGACCUUCGGGCCUCUCGCGUCAGGAUAUGCCCAGGUGGGAUUAGCUAGUUGGUGAGGUAAGGGCUCACCAAGGCAACGAUCCCUAGCUGGUCUGAGAGGAUGAUCAGCCACACUGGGACUGAGACACGGCCCAGACUCCUACGGGAGGCAGCAGUGGGGAAUAUUGCACAAUGGGCGCAAGCCUGAUGCAGCCAUGCCGCGUGUGUGAAGAAGGCCUUCGGGUUGUAAAGCACUUUCAGCAGUGAGGAAGGCAAUGUAUUUAAUAGAUGCAUUGUUUGACGUUAGCUGCAGAAGAAGCACCGGCUAACUCCGUGCCAGCAGCCGCGGUAAUACGGAGGGUGCGAGCGUUAAUCGGAAUUACUGGGCGUAAAGCGCAUGCAGGGUG
rnacentral:rRNA from 1 species